rnacentral:rRNA from 1 species
GUGCCAGCAGCCGCGGUGAUACGUAGGGUGCGAGCGUUGUCCGGAUUUAUUGGGCGUAAAGGGCUCGUAGGUGGUUGAUCGCGUCGGAAGUGUAAUCUUGGGGCUUAACCCUGAGCGUGCUUUCGAUACGGGUUGACUUGAGGAAGGUAGGGGAGAAUGGAAUUCCUGGUGGAGCGGUGGAAUGCGCAGAUAUCACGAGGAACACCCGUGGCGAAGGCGGUUCUCUGGGCCUUUUCCUGACGCUGAGGAGCGAAAGCGUGGCGAGCGAACAGGCUUAGAUACCCAUGAUAGUCC